rnacentral:rRNA from 1 species
CCCUUAGAUGUUCUGGGCCGCACGCGCGCUACACUGACGAAUGCAACGAGCUUAUAACCUUGGCCGAAAGGUCUGGGUAAUCUCCAAAUUUCGUCGUGAUGGGGAUAGAUUAUUGCAAUUAUUAAUCUUCAACGAGGAAUGCCUAGUAAGCGCAAGUCAUCAGCUUGCGUUGAUUACGUCCCUGCCCUUUGUACACACCGCCCGUCGCUCCUACCGAUUGAAUGGUCCGGUGAAGCGUUCGGACCGUGGCCUUUGGACGGUUCGCCGUCUGUUGGCUGCGGGAAGUUCGUUAAACCUUAUCAUUUAGAGGAAGGAGAAGUCUUAACA